GAAAGAAAAAAGGGGUUGAGAUUUGAGAGAAAGAGAAAGAGGAGGUUAACACACACACACACACACACAAAGCAGAACAAGAGAAGUAUCCCCCCAUAACAAAACCGUACUACACAAUAAAGCACACCAACCAUUCAUUUCCUUUUGCCCACAUUUACUAUCCCACAUUAUGUUUCCUCAGACAAUCGCAGUGCCACAGAACCAACUAGCCACUCCUUCCUGUACUUAGCUACCUCACUUCUACCUUCUUAUUUCUUCCACAACCCUUUUUUCCUCCCUUCAACAUAUGCACCCACUUUGUCUUCAUCUCUUUAAACAGCUUCUCCUCAUUGUUUAAUUUGUCACUGAUACUGAUGGCACCACUGAUGGGAGGGUGCUUUUGGCUUUGGUGGCAGCUGAAGCAGCAGUGCCAACAGCAACAGCAACAUCAGCGGCACCAGAAUAUGGCCACAGAUUAUGGGAUCCAACAAUGGUUUGUCUUUCACUCAACAAAAAUCCUUGUGAGGCAAAAGGGUUUCAUCACUGAACUUCAAUUCUUGCCUGUCACUAUGUUGUUCCUAUUCUCUUGAUUCUUAGUAUCAUGCUCCUGCUGGUGAUAUUGGCUAGAUGGCUCAAUCUGUGUUAGCUUAGUGGUAUUAGCAUUUAGCAUUUAGCAUUGCUAUUACUAUUAUUAUUUUUGUUUACUUACUCUCCCUGUAACCAAUGUUAAUAUGCAAGGAGUGGAUAUUUCC
rnacentral:lncRNA from 1 species